rnacentral:rRNA from 1 species
GAUGAACGCUGGCGGCGUGCCUAAUACAUGCAAGUCGAGCGAACAGACGAGGAGCUUGCUCCUCUGACGUUAGCGGCGGACGGGUGAGUAACACGUGGAUAACCUACCUAUAAGACUGGGAUAACUUCGGGAAACCGGAGCUAAUACCGGAUAAUAUAUUGAACCGCAUGGUUCAAUAGUGAAAGACGGUUUUGCUGCCACUUAUAGAUGGAUCCGCGCCGCAUUAGCUAGUUGGUAAGGUAACGGCUUACCAAGGCAACGAUGCGUAGCCGACCUGAGAGGGUGAUCGGCCACACUGGAACUGAGACACGGUCCAGACUCCUACGGGAGGCAGCAGUAGGGAAUCUUCCGCAAUGGGCGAAAGCCUGACGGAGCAACGCCGCGUGAGAGAUGAAGGUCUUCGGAUCGUAAAACUCUGUUAUUAGGGAAGAACAAAUGUGUAAGUAACUAUGCACGUCUUGGCGGUACCUAAUCAGAAAGCCACGGCUAACUACGUG